GAUGAAGAACGUAGCGAAAUGCGAUAAGUAAUGUGAAUUGCAGAAUUCAGUGAAUCAUCGAAUCUUUGAACGCACAUUGCGCCCGCCAGUAUUCUGGCGGGCAUGCCUGUCCGAGCGUCAUUUCAACCCUCGAACCCCUCCGGGGGGUCGGCGUUGGGGAUCGGCCCUUUACGGGGCCGGCCCCGAAAUACAGUGGCGGUCUCGCCGCAGCCUCUCCUGCGCAGUAGUUUGCACACUCGCAUCGGGAGCGCGGCGCGUCCACAGCCGUUAAACACCCCAAACUUCUGAAAUGUUGACCUCGGAUCAGGUAGGAAUACCCGCUGAACUUAAGCAUAUCAAUAAGCGGAGGA
rnacentral:misc_RNA from 1 species